AGGAGAUGGGCUUGGUUAUACUCAUGCCCCAACACUCAGUUCAACCUGACUCCGUGAGUCGUAACUACAGUAAGAAAGACCAUGCCUGGAUGGGACAGUACUAGUACUGAGCAACGGCCCCGUGGGACAUGGUCACACAAGAAACAUCUGGCGAGUUCAACCCUUCAACAGCCGCAGGCUCAGUUCCUCCAUCAGUCAGAGACGAGCCUUUGUGUCCUUCCCAUCACAGGGGAUGUUAGUGUGCCUCAUAGACACCCUAUGAAUAAAUGAAACAUCAUUUCAGUAUUGUA
rnacentral:lncRNA from 1 species